UACGAAGGGGGCUAGCGUUGCUCGGAAUCACUGGGCGUAAAGGGUGCGUAGGCGGGUCUUUAAGUCAGGGGUGAAAUCCUGGAGCUCAACUCCAGAACUGCCUUUGAUACUGAAGAUCUUGAGUUCGGGAGAGGUGAGUGGAACUGCGAGUGUAGAGGUGAAAUUCGUAGAUAUUCGCAAGAACACCAGUGGCGAAGGCGGCACACUGGCCCGAUACUGACGCUGAGGUGCGAAAGCGUGGGGAGCAAACAGG
rnacentral:rRNA from 1 species